UAAUAAUAAAUGUAAAGAAUAGAUUUUAUAUGAAAUUCAAUUAUAAAGUUUAAAAGUAUUGGCGGUGUUAAAUUUUAUUCUGAGAAACUUGCUUGAUUAAAAUGAUGUUACACAAUAUAUCUUAUCAUAUUUUUUGGAAAGUUUAUGUAUUGCUGUUUAACUAAUUAAUUAAUAAAAUAAAAUUAGUAAAAAUAUUUUUAAGUAGAAAAUUCAAGUCAAGAUGUAGUUUUAGUAUGGUUUAAGUGAGUUGCUUUUUAUUAGAAAAGUAGAAUUAAGAUAAUAAUUUAAAUAUUUUUAUGAAUUUAGGAUUAGGGGGUAAAAAGGGAGUAAUAAAUCCUUUUGAUAAAUUUUAUUAACAUGU
rnacentral:rRNA from 1 species